rnacentral:pre_miRNA from 1 species
GUUAACCUGUGUGUGGAUAGUGUUCUGCACCAAGGACAGGUGUUCAAACCAGUGUGUGGAUGGUGUUCAGCACCAAGGACUGGUGUGUUCAUAU